GCCUGGCUAGCUCAGUUGGUAGCGCAUGGGACUCUUGCUCUCAGGUUUGUGGUUUUAAGCCCAUCACAGGGUA